rnacentral:rRNA from 1 species
UACAGAGACUGCAAGCGUUAUUCGGAUUCACUGGGCGUAAAGGGUGCGCAGGCGGCCGUGUGUGUGAGGCGUGAAAGCCUGGAGCUUAACUCCAGAAUUGCACCUCAAACUACACGGCUAGAGCAUUGGGGAGGGUAGCGGAAUUCACGGUGUAGCAGUGAAAUGCGUAGAUAUCGUGAGGAACACCAGAGGCGAAGGCGGCUACCUGGACAAUUGCUGACGCUCAGGCACGAAAGCGUGGGGAGCAAAAGGG